rnacentral:rRNA from 1 species
UACGAAGGGGGCUAGCGUUGCUCGGAAUUACUGGGCGUAAAGGGCGCGUAGGCGGAUAUCUAAGUUGGGGGUGAAAUCCCGGGGCUCAACCUCGGAAUUGCCUUCAAAACUGGGUAUCUUGAGUUCGGGAGAGGUGAGUGGAACUCCGAGUGUAGAGGUGAAAUUCGUAGAUAUUCGGAAGAACACCAGUGGCGAAGGCGACUCACUGGCCCGAUACUGACGCUGAGGCGCGAAAGCGUGGGGAGCGAACAGG